GUAAAACUUUUCUCGUGGGCAAAUUCCUCUAAAUGAAAAUAUCAGGUCAAAAGGUAUGAAAGUAAUCACUGAAAACGCAAAAGAGAGAAUAUCACUUCCCUUUUAAAACCAGUCACUGGCUUCUUAGAAUAAAAUCUAAAUUGUUUACAGAACUAUAGGUGACCUAGCUCUGGCUGCCUCUCCAGCCUCGUCGGGUACCAUUCACUUGCUCACUCUACCCCAGCCUCACUGAGUUCCUUUCUGACCCUUAAAUAUGCCGAGCUCUUCCCCAGACCAGGGUUGUGGCUUUUGCUGAACUUUUCAUAUGCCCGGUUCUUUUCAUCUUUCCUCUCAGUCAAAAAUCAUCUCCUGAAAAUAGCCUUCCGUUGCACGCUGCCUCACCCCUACUUUACUCUCUAUCACGUCACUCUGUUACUUACCACGCCCUGCGGGGCCUUGCUCCGUUGUUUACUCUGUCUCCUCCCCCACUCUAAAGUAAACUCCUCGAGGGUAGGAACCUUGUCUGACGUUCUUCCCUGUAUCUUCAGCACAUAGAACAGUGCCUGGAACACAUGCUCGGAAAAUAUUUGUUGAAUAAAUGAAGGAAGAGCGUAAUUACUCCAUUAUAUAUUGUCAAGUUUAUAGCCUUUGAUUUAAUAGUCUUUUCUCCUCCUGAAUGAGAAUGGGCCUGAAGAAAGUAGCUCCAAACUGUUGGCAACCAUCUUUGUGACCACAUAGAGAGCCUGGUGAAAAUGGAGUCAACAUUGAAAAAGCAGAGCCAAAAACUUGAAGGCGAGAAGCUGGCUACUUGGCCUUGUUCUUGAGCUGUUGGGGUGAACGAAAGCUUGUCUGCUGUAGGACAGGACUCCUAGAAAAGGAUGGAGCCAAAAGCUGGAAGGAGUCUACAUCUCUGAAUGACUGCCCCUCUCUGCAUUGAACUACAAGGCUCUAUGGGAUAGAGAAGAACAUGCCCCAGAUGUUCAUGGCCUCUUCUGCCUGGACCCCAGAUUGAAACAUAUGGAGCAGACACAAACCCACCCUGAACCCUGGAACCACGCCACCUAAUUCUCCGCAGAAGCAGAGCCACUCCAGCUGAUCUGCGACCCUUACAUGAGAAAAGUACACUGCAUGAGCCUUUGAGUUUUGGGUCGUUUGUUACACAACACGAUUGCAGCGAUAGCUGUCUACUACAUUGGUUGAAUUCAGAGGGGCAAAAUGAUAAGAGUAUUCUAGUAGACAGAAUAAUGACCCCCCAAAGAUCUCCGUGUUCUAAUCCUGGAACCUGUGAAUGAUGCCUUCCAAGGCAAAAGGGACUUUGCAGCUGUGACUAAGUUGAGGAUCUUGAGAUGAGUGGGUCACCCUGGUGGGUCCAAUGUAACCUCCAAGGGUCUUUAUAAGAGGAAGGCAGGAGAGGCAGAGUAAGAGAAGGAGAUGUGACAACAGAAGCAGAGGUCAGGGUGAUGAGGCCAUGAGGCAAAAGAUGAGGGCAGGCUCUAGAAGCCGUGAAAGGAGAGCUUUUAGAAGGAAAGCAGCGUGACCAACAUCUUGAUUUUAGUUCUGUGAGAUCUGUUUCAGACUUCUGACCUCUAGCACUGGAAGACAAUAAAGUUGUAUUGCUUUAAGCCACUAAGUUGUGGUAACGGUUACAGCAGCAAUGAGACUAAUACAAAUAUAUUAAGAUUAAAAGGAUAAUUGCUAUUGCUCUCCCUGUUAAAGGAAAAUAUUUAUAUUUAAAAUAAUACACUAUGAAAUCAUCCUACUAAUGCAUUUAGAAA
rnacentral:lncRNA from 1 species